rnacentral:rRNA from 1 species
GCAAGCUUGAGUCUCGUAGAGGGGGGUAGAAUUCCAGGUGUAGCGGUGAAAUGCGUAGAGAUCUGGAGGAAUACCGGUGGCGAAGGCGGCCCCCUGGACGAAGACUGACGCUCAGGUGCGAAAGCGUGGGGAGCAAACAGGAUUAGAUACCCUGGUAGUCCACGCCGUAAACGAUGUCGACUUGGAGGUUGUGCCCUUGAGGCGUGGCUUCCGGAGCUAACGCGUUAAGUCGACCGCCUGGGGAGUACGGCCGCAAGGUUAAAACUCAAAUGAAUUGACGGGGGCCCGCACAAGCGGUGGAGCAUGUGGUUUAAUUCGAUGCAACGCGAAGAACCUUACCUGGUCUUGACAUCCACAGAACUUUCCAGAGAUGGAUUGGUGCCUUCGGGAACUGUGAGACAGGUGCUGCAUG